rnacentral:lncRNA from 1 species
CAAGAUUUGAGUCUGGUUGCCAAAAUUUCACAAGAAAAGGUUCAUUUGGCAUCUGAUCUUUUAAAACCAAUCCAUGAGAUUUGCAUUAUAAACACAUAAUUCAGUAAUCUGUGAGAUACUGAGACGGCCUCCGAAUAAACCAAAAGCUGUGUCCACAAGAUGCUUAAUAGAAAAACAAAUUGCCAGAACAGGAUGGUUUAGUUCCAGGUAGCAUUACAUAGAAGAGUUUCAAACAGAAUUUGAUGGACUAAUAAUGACACAAUCUCAGCAGCUUCAGCAACCUGUUAAGAACAUUGAACAAACAUCAUUAGAUACGUUGACAUGAAAAAGAUAAACAAAAAACAGAAGAAAAAAGUCACCACAAUAAAUAGUAGAACAACGAGAAACUGGUUUUCCACUUCUCAAUGCUGCUCUGCACAUAGUAUCACCACUACUCUACAUACAAUCUUCUUCCCGUUUUGAAUAAAGUAGGGUUCUCAACCAUUAUCUCCAACAUAAAUCAGACCAGUAAAUCCAUUUUCCUUUUCCUGGUCCAAGAACUUCCACAAGAAAAAGACUUCAGACCUCCAAAUAUGUAUUUAUAUGCUCUAUGAUGAACAAGUUCCUGCUACAUGACAAUUAAAGACGAAAUUUGCCAUCCUAAACGCAGCAAUUGUUUAACACUAAAACACAUGCAAUUUGCUGUAACAGAGUGGAAAACUAUGUUACUCGGGCUCGGGUAUGAGAGUCAGAUAUGGGUAUGUGUCUAAGUGUCUAGUUCUUUAAUCAUCUAAAAUCAGGAUAAAGGGACACUUCUAAAGAGUCGGAUACUGGUACUUAGGUAUGAUGGACUUUCUAGGAAAUAUAUAUACAAAUUAUGUACAUUGAUUGUUGUUUACUUAUAAACGAACAGGGCCAUUUUCCUUGGGAGCUUUUCAGAUUUCAUUUAUACAAGGGAAAUUCAGAAUUUUAGAUAGGUCUUCUUUCUCUCUAACAUGAAAGUCCUAAAGUUUUCCACUUCACUUUACUUCUCUCCUCCCCCUUCACCAUCAACAUCCACUGACAAAAAAGAAAGUACCCAAAAAGUUGUUGAAGUCCAAUGCCUGGUCGACCUCUCCUGAUGUAUCUGUCAGUGAAGGAAGCAUCCCAUACCAGUACCUGUGCCAAGUUAUGUCGACACGGUAGAGCCGGAGUAACAUAGGUGGAAAGGUGAUUUUCCGGUAGCUAAUUUGUCAGUGUCACAAGUUUGACAAGCAUGGUGCAGCUUAUACCCAUUAUGGUAACAAUGGCUUUCACCCUGACAAAAUUAUACAUAACUCGAUGACUAUGUCUUGGAAAAUAUUUUGCAUUGCUCGGGCAUCCAAGAAAGAUAGAUAGUGAGAGUGAUAGCCAGAAAUUUCAAUCACUUAAUAAAGCUCACUUCUCUCUUCCUUUCUACCUGGCACGUUAGAAUCAACAUUCCAUUCCAUGGAACUGGUCAUGAAAAAGUAAAUGUGUGUUAGGAACCAAAUAUACCCCUCAUCUCAACACACAUUAUUUAUUUCUACAGCCAAGCCCCACAAAACUUUGGUUUCAAGAGGACAGAAAGCAAAUUCCUAAGCCCAGAUUCCCAGGACUACAGCUUUUUGUUAAAUGUGAGUAUUAUCGUCAGCUAACCUUUCUCUGGAAAAGCUGUUUAAUCAGAUUCUUUCCUAGCUGGGGAUACAAUGUACCUCUACAUGCCCCUUGGAAGAGAGCUUUUGGCUACAAACCUCAAUAGGCCACAAUUGUUUUCCAGCUUAGCUCCACUACAUGGAUAAUUUCCUAUUUCUUUUUUUUUCAAGUCCUUUUGCCCAGUAUCAAGUAAAAAAUGAGGCUCAUAGAAGAAAUGAAAGCUGUAACUGGCCAAAUCUUGCCGGUAUUGACCAGAACUGACUACUAAAGCACCCCAAAUCCCAUGGUUUUUUCUUCAUGCGAGCAGUUGCACUUAUAGAUAGCCAGUUUGUCACACAUCACAUAGUCUACUCACUUAAUAUAACUAAAAAGCAGUGCUCUUAGUUUUGAUUGAUGCUUUGACAGAAAUUGGUAAACAUUCAGGUACAAAUGCAAUACCCUAGACAGAAACCUCAUGUACUGCAGGUGAACUAAGUGGCUAAAUGUGAAAAUCAUUUAUUAGAUAGUACAAAGGCACUGCAUUUGCAAUCUUUUCCAUUGCAACAGAACGAUUAGCUUCAAUACUUCUGAGGUACAAAAUUAUCAAAAUUUGUUCAGUUGACAACUAAUCAGGCCAUUAUCGUUAGCACAUCUAGAAACAACUUUGGGAGUUAGAUGUAAUAUCAAUGAACAUUCAAAGGUAGCAAAACGCUAAUCACAGAUCCACACAAAGCAAAGCAACUAAAAAGUUCUCUCACUGAGUAUGUCUGUGCUGCACAGAGCAAAUACAUCCUAAAACAAGUUCAUAAACAUUGUCUCCAAAGUGGCACUCUUCUUUGCCUGCCAACUGAAGCAAAUCUCCAACCAACAAAAGUAAGGUACAAAAGAAGGAUAUAAGCUUUAUCACAAAGAAGCACAUAAAUGAGCAAUGCAACACUCUUAACAGAUACAUAAAUUCACUAAGAAACUCAUAAACUUGAGUUAAACCACAUUCGAUUGGAGAAAACGUAAAUGACCACUUACAAAACUAAAACAAGAAAAAUCGUUGAUUAAUACUCCCUCCGUCCCAUUGACACGGUCAUAUUUUCCUUUUUAGUUCUCCCAAAAUAUUUAUAACUUACAUAAAUUGGCUAACACAUUUGCAUUCAAUUCCUCCAUUUACCGUUCAAACACUCCCUAAAAGUCCAAUGCAUGUCUUUUCAUGAGCCCACAGAUUAUUACCGACGAAACUAGGACAACUUCUUUUGUAGUACGCGCUAGUUGGCAUUAAGAAACUAAAGCCAUUAAGUGUUCUGAUGCACGCGCUAGUUGGCAAUCAUAUCUGCGAUUGGACAAACAUCUUGGCUCCACGAUUCUUUAUGUCUUAACACAACACUUAAAGCUCUUCAAUUUUCAAAUUCUAUCCACUCUUCAUAAAAAUUACAGUCCCCGAAGUGCGAUAAAUUUUAUGGGACAAAGCGAGUAAUUCUCAAUAGGAGACCAAAACUGUUCCUAAAUCGUAAUUUACUGUAAUUUACUGUAAAAAUUAAAUCGUCUAUUGUACGAAUCAUUAGCUCAUAAUUUGCAAGCACUUCAACCAAAAAUUACAUUUCUAUUCCAAAAACCCCAUUCAGAAAUAACCUUAAGCUGUCAAAACAUAGAGAUUAUAAAUCCUAAAGACUGUCAAUUAAAAAAACUAAAGCAAACCCACUUAACAAAACCUAUCCAACCGUCACCCAAGAAAAAAAAUUUUAUUUACCUUCCCUAAGAUUAAACCAAAUAAAACUUGAAACCCAGAAAAAUGUCAAAAAGCCUCCAAAAAAUCCCCAGGUAAAAUCAUCCAAAAUAAAACUCAAAGAAAAAACUAAAAAAUAAUUACCUUUAGAUCAAGCAUUGGCAGUUUGAGGAAUAGGCUGCGCCGCUGGGGAGCCUUGUUUUUGUUGGGCUUCGGCUUCCGGGAUCUUCUGCAUCCGUUCCAUGACAAGCUCGUACUCGCACUUCUUACCUGCUUGAUUGAUUAACAAAUUGAUAAGACCGAAACAAGUAAUCUAUGUGCAUAUGCCGCUCAUAUGCUCUGCCUAAUCAAUUAUACAUGUAAACAAAAUUCACCGCUCGAGAUGAAGCAAAAAUCAAGAUUUGGCCUUGUUUGAAUUCCCAUUUCUUCCCAAAAAAUUUUACACUUUGCGUUAAUGCAUCUUUCAAUCACUUUUUUUUACCUCACGUGUGUCAUAUACUUACAAUAUAUUUUUUUCACAAAAACUCCAGAAAAUAGUAUCCAGACGGGUUAUUUGAAAUUAAUGUCUUAGCAUCCACAGAAUUUUCUCAAGUACCCCACAGCUUUCUCUUCACAGACUCGACCACAAUUGCCAUGGUCCCCGCAGCUCUC